rnacentral:rRNA from 1 species
CUGCUGCCUUCCGUAGGAGUUUGGGCCGUGUCUCAGUCUCAAUGUGGCCGGUCACCCUCUCAGGUCGGCUACUGAUCGUCGGCUUGGUGGGCCGUUACCCUGCCAACUGGCUAAUCAGACGCGGGGCCAUCGUAUGCCGAUAAAUCUUUUCACACCAUGCCAUGCAGCAUUGUGUGCUUAUGCGGUAUUAGCAGUCAUUUCUGACUGUUGUCCCCCUGCAUACGGCAGGUU